AUGUAUUUGGUGGCCCACACAAUACCUCAGUCAUGUUUCACUCAGUUUGCAUCUGACCUGCAUAUAUUACUGGGGGUACCUGGAGGUCUGGUGAAGGAAACUGCCAGGAGGAUAUUUAAACAAAAGCAUCUGGAGCAUUUUGGAAAUGAAAAGAGUCUCUGUUAGUGAAUAAAGAGGUAGUAAAAUACAGAAGCUGGCCCAAUAAGAGUAUCUCAAUAGUGAAGGACUAGGCAGUGAUGAGAAUAGCCUGGGUGCUCUCACUGAUACUUAUUCUCUAGCUAUGCCACAUGAGCCAAUGAAAAAAUACAAGGGAGACAAGGGGUUAACAAAAGCAAUUAAAUCAGAAUAAGCUGUUUUAAGUAAAAUCUCUAUAAGACAUUUGGUGAGUAAAAACAGCAUGUUUUUGGUACUUAAGACUGGAACACAAAAACACAGGAAUGUCAGUCUUUCAGUUUCAGCAUGAAGUUCAGUAUUGCUGAAAUCUAUGGUUACCUUCAGAUAAUUCAAUGCUCUGGUAUCAGUGUGAUUUAUUACUUGGCAUUCUUCCUGAAUCAGCCCCGAAACUCUUAACCAAGUUUUUACUUGAGCGAGAUUAGAGACAGCUUGGAGACUACAGGGUCUGUUCGAAUAAGAGACUGAAGAACUUUUGGGCACAGGACUUUUCCGUUAGGUUGGUGAAGAAAUAAUUGUACUUUGACAUCUGUGUCAGUGACUAUACCACAAAAUGGGGUUGAAGAUAUUCUUCACCACUGACUGCCACUUACGUUUUGUCUUUGGAAAGCCUAUGCUCUAGGUGGUGGUGAUGCCCAGCAUGACCUACUGAGAAAUGGCAGCUAUGCCUGGCAGACAGAUUAGAAAUUGCAGGGCAGACUAGUAAGGAAACAGGUGUCAUUUAAAAACGAUUCACAGUGGUGGCAGCAUCAGGCCCAGUGGGAGUGGGGCAUCAAGCAGAUGUAGCAUUGUUACGCAGGAGUGCUCAUCAUAUUCUCCGCAAACACUCGUGAAACCCUCUUGGGGCCUGGCAAGGAUACUUGGGGAAAGAACUCAGAGAUUGUUGAUGUUCUACAUGAGCAGGUGGUGGAAGGCCUGGGGAAAUGAGUUAUAUUUGCUCUCUAUUUCUCAAGUCUUAUAAAAAUGUUUUGAAUUCAGGGAGUAAAUGUGCAGGUUUGUUACAUGGGUUUAUUGCAUAAUGCUUUAUUCCUCAGGUCUUUUAAUCCUACUUGAAUCACCUAUAUUGCUGAUUGGAGGCAAAUCAGUUAACUUGAAUAUAAAAUUUAUAAAUGAAAAACACUUUUAGGGAUACCAGCAUUUUUUACAAAUGAUUUUAGUAUAUUAUGAUUAUUUUCUUAAUUCUCCUAAAAUAACAUCCUCUGAAUGCACAAACCUCAGCUAACUGCUCCUAUUUUGUGUUAGAAUACUACAGACUUUAUUUAUUUUGACUCUUGAAACUUUGCAGAGCUAGAAUUUUGUUUUAAAUCAGUUUUCAAGUAUUUAGUUGUCUGUUUGCUCUGGUGAUAAAUAGCAUAAGAGUAACGAGAGAAAUAGGACUUCAUCAGCAGCCUUUUCAAUGUUGGUGUCUGUUUCCUUAAGAUCUUGUGUCCUUGGUCAAACCAAGUCUCCAGAUGGCACUGUUGUCAGAAAGAUCUAGGAAAAUAGAUGACCCAAAUAUAUUUUUAUAUCUGUGUUUCAGUUUGUAAAUCACUAGUCUUGUUUCUGAAAUGGUUUUCAGGUCAAAGCAGUUUUAAGAUCCCUCUUCAGCAGUUAUUUGUCAUUCUCAUCCCAUUCUUCCCAUUUUCUGUGUAUUAGAUACUUUUCCAGCCUGGAAUUUAUAGCUCCCAGUGCAAUACCAAGCACAGAGUUUGUUGAGAAUCUACUUUUAUUCCCUGGUAAAGUUGCUUUUAGCAGUAACAAUAGUACUUACUAUUUUGUUUUUAUAGAAUUUCUAAUCAACAUAAAUCACCAUUACAUCAACACAACAACAUACAUUGUGGACCCACAAUACUGUGUCCUUUUAGAAAAUAUUGUGUCAGAACACUUAACAUGAGAUUUACCCUCUUAACAAAAUUUUAAGUGUACAAUACAGUAUUAGACAAUCUUUAAUUGUUUUGUAAACAACACCAUACAGUAUUAUAGAAACGAUCUUUCACAGUGGAUCUCUAGGAUUUAAUAUAGUGUGUACUUCUGCAUUUAAAGAUAUUUCUGAACUCUUCUCCAGGAUCCUCCUUAUUAUGACAUACUUAUUUUUGUAAUAACUCCUGCAUACAUCAAAUAUAAAGCUUGUAAGCAGAAGCGUGCACUUCUCUAAAAGUUAACCAAACGUGGUGUGCUUUCUUUCCAUGCAAAUGUUUGCAUACCUCUGUCCUUGGAAUUACUUCUCUGGGUCAGAGUGAGCCUUUGUGCACUUAAGGACAAGAGGAUAAAUGUUUUCAGCUUUACAUUAUUUUGCAGAAUUUAUUCAUUACUGUUUCUUACAAGCAGGAUCUCCUUUAGCAUGACAAAUAAAAAGCCAAAUAGCAUAUUCUUUGUUAAAUAAGUGAUUCAGACAGUUGUAUUCGUAAACAACCUUAGGGAUACUACACGGUCCUCCUUCCAAACUACCUGCCCUGGGUCUAAACUCAUCCUGCUUUAUCUUGGCAUCCUCUUUUUUAACAAUAACUUUUGUGUUAAAGCAUUGGUACAAGGUCUCCCGGAGGCUCUUGUUGAAAUGUGCAUGCUGCCUUGGAGGGAC
ensembl:lncRNA